UUGACUCUGAGCUGAUACCAUUCAUUUAUAGCUCGCUCUGUUUAAACCCUCUAACUUCUCUUUAAGCAUGUCUCUUCAUAUUACUUACUUAUUCGUAACCGUAACAGUUCUCUUAAGUGUCGGCGUUAAUUGUGCAGACCAUGUCUCACAGAAGCCGGUUACAAUAGCGCAGAUUGAAGGAGAUUCGGUGACUAUUCAUUUCAGCUAUUCAACCACUGCUGAUUCAUAUUCCUUACAAUUGUACCGCCAAGAUCCGGGUACACCUCCGACAUUCUUGAUCUACAUCCCUAAAUACGGAAAUGUCUUCAAAGCAAAAGACGUUGGCGAUCGAUUUUCUGCAUCUCUGAACACUUCCAGUACGGAGGGGAAUUUUACCAUCAGCAGACUUCAGCUGUCUGACAGCGCGAUGUAUUACUGUGCGCUGAGAGACACAGUGACUGGAAGUAGAGGGAGUCUCGUACAUAAACACCGCCCCAAUGUAACAAAGUGCAAAGUGUGA